rnacentral:lncRNA from 1 species
GUGACAGCCCUCAAAUCCGGGGGUCUGGAUUUGGUGCCACUAAAAGAAAAACAAUUUAAAACCUGUAUUUUCGAAAGAAAUUAAAACAAGUAUUUCAAAACCUGAAUAUAUAAAAAAAAUGAUUUAAAUUAAAACUCAAUUUCACCCCCUUUAAAAUAGGAUCGCAAACAGGUUAUAGUAUUGAAAUCAGAAAACAAAACUACAGAUCUUAUUACAGCUUGAACUAUAUUAUCAACUAGACCUCGAUAUGAAGGAUAACCAAUAUCCAAUUUAACAAAUCUAUUCUUUUACAACUAAACCAAAUUUAGUCAACUCCAAUUACCACUAGUCCCACAGACACGAUCUUGAUUACUCUUCCUGACCAUCAGGUUGAAACUUAAUCACUUGCAAUCCUCGCCUAGCCUUACUCUUACGCUUAGCAUAAAUAGGCGAACCAUCUUUAACAUUAUCUGAAAGGGGUUAGAAGAAAUAGCAAGAAUGAGCAAAAGAAUGCUCAGCAAGUAUAUUAGUUAAAAAGAAACAGGAGUUAAUGCAGAGAAAGUAAUUGAACUGGAAGUAUACAAAACAACAUGCUUUUAACUUGAAACCAAAACAAUUCAAAAGUAUAUAUGAAUUUCCAAAGCAUUCAGAUAUAUUGGACGUUAAUAGUCACCGUAGAUGAUCAGUCUACAGUAACCCGGACAAUGGUUACGCAUUGCCCUAAAAUAAAAUGUUCCGGAACUGAAGACUAGCUAGGUCUCCAUAUAACGCUGGGCCAAGGGCCUCUUAUGCAAACAAAACAAUAGGCUGGGCAUAGACCUCUUACGCAAAGCUGGGCAUCGGCCUCUUACGCAAACAAAACAAUAGUCCAAUGAUUAUAUCUGAAUUUUUCUUUUACUUCCCAGUUCCAAAAAUUUCAAUGUAAUUUAAGUGUCUCAUUUGGAAGGAUAAUAAGUACUAUUCCCAUAAAGCAUUCAUUAAUCGUUCCAAUUCAAGUUUUAGGAAAGACUUUUUCCCAAGGUACAAGUGUUAAAUAAAAGCAGUAUUCAUAGAGAAAGAUGGGUUAGAUAUACUUGCUUUUAAAUAAAGAAGUAGCAUAGGAAUACUUGCAGUAAUUUCAAGUUAAGAAUAGAAUUACUCGCAAGAAAGCUUGAGAGAAAUUAAUCUAUCAAUAUCAUGAUUGAACAAAAUAUCUCACUUGAACAAUAAGUGAAGAGUUAUAGUACUUGCCUCAGUUCUGCUGAUUUUCACACCAAUUAAUUUCUACCGGACUAUCUCACAGCACAGCUUCGUCUUAAGGAACUAUUCCUGAUUAAAUUCACAAAGCUAUUCAACUACUUCUGAAUGUCCUUGAUAUACAAGUCUCGGUUGAUUCUCCACGAGUAACACGGUACUUCGGUUGUCGAUGCCGACGGAGUUAACUAAUAUCGAAUAACGUAUAAAAUCCGUAAUUAGCUACCCUUCGUAAAUCCAUAUACAUACCACAUAGUCAGAUAAACACAUAGCACAUAGUUGAACAAUUAACUUUUAUAGCUAUUAAAAGUCAAUAUUGAUAAGUUAACAAAUAACAUGUUUCAAUCAACCAUGUUACCUUAUUCUUAACUAUUUAAUAUCCUUCAACAAGUAAAACAUAUAUAAUUUCUAUCGAAAAUUCGGCAGCAUCUCCUCUAUGUAUCGGACUAUCCACCUGUUUCCCUAUACUAUGCAACAAGUAAUCAACUCAAUCCACUCAAUAAACCAAUCAUAUAACAUCAACCAUUACUCAUUGACUGGAUUUAAAUAAUUAGCAAACUCUGAAAUCAUAUGCUAAAUCAUAAGCCAAUAAUUCAACUUUUUAACCAAAUAUUUCUCAAAGAUCUUUAUAAAUAUAUUCCAGAGGUCGCGGAAAUUUCAACCCAACUCAUAGAUUUAAACUUGCAAAAACAAUUCUCUUUGUAACAGCAAAACAGAAUUUUCACAAGUAUGUGCUACCGACAUUCAAACAUUUUUAAUAAAUCAAAAAUACAAGUUUUUCACUUGAAAUUUUUAUGAGACCUCCCUAAACUCGCUGACUAACUACAAAAUAAGUUUUGACUUGAAAAUCAAAGUUUAAGUAAUUAAACUAUAAUUUAGAAAGUCGAAAAGUGAAGCAGUUUUGUACUCUGCGCAUACCAUAAUAAAACUAUCAUAUCUCCUAGCUCGCUAAUCGAAUCGAUUCGAUUCUUUCGCGCACAUAAAGUAGACUCUGAGAAGAUCAUGAAUCUCUGAAAGUCUGAUUUUAAAAAUGAUCUUAAGCUGUUCGAAAAAGAGCUCCAAACAGAGGCAGCGCUGCUGCGAAAACUUGACUUCAAAUGACUCGAUAAUUUAUAAACAAUUUCAUAUUAAUCACAACUCUUACUAAUUUAUUCAAUUCAAUAUAACACACAUAACAUAACAAUUUCUUCCCAACAAUUACAAAUUUAGAGUGUAAUUAAACCCCUAAUUCAUAUGAACCCAUGUACACAAUUAAUUCCCAAUCGAGUAAACAUUAUCCCAAUUAGUCUAUAAUCACGUAGUUAAUUAAAUCAAACUCUAAAUCAAAGCAAUUCUCAACUAAUGCAAAGCAAGUGUAUAUACACAUAUAUAUACAUUUAUACAACUGAUUGGUCUCAAAAUUGGCUAACUUAAUCAAUUCAAAUCGUAGCGAACACAGCACAACAUAUAUACACAUACAUAUAUAAACUGAUUUUAUAAAGAAGAAUGGAUUUAUACCCACUGAUUUAUAACUGGUGCAGGGCUAUGGUGGUCGCCGGAAGAGGAAGAAAUAGGCGGUGUUGGUUCUGGCCGGAAAAGGAAGCGGCGGCAGAGAAUCCCGAUGGAAUAUGGCGACCGUACGUACAGAGGCGAGAGAUGGAGGGAAGUGUGCAGGGAGAUGGUAGCGAGAGACCGAAGGAAUGGCGUGAGAUUGGGGAGAUAUUUGCGAGAGAAAGUAGUCCCCCGAAUACUGUGAUUUAACGAGAGAGAUGAGGUUUCACAGGGAAUAAAAGGAAAAGGGUUUACAGGGGUGUAUACGUGGCUGAAGGAAGAGAAGUGUGGAGACACGCGGAUAAAUUUUAAGCUGCCAACUAUUUUAUUAAACUGAGUAAGCAAUUAACUUCUACCCGCUUUCAACUAAUUUACGUAGAUUACUUGCAAUAAAAUUUCUCCCGACAACUACCAAAAUAUUUUUAUAAACCCCGGAAUAUUAUAAAACUAAUCAAAUAAAAGUUUCCGGAUUUAUAGAGCAUUUUCGGAAUUUAUACAAAAUUUAGAAGUUAGCUGCGUUCAGAAACUAAUUAAAAAUCAUGUCCUUAUAGAAAUAAGAUUUUUAAUAUUUUACAAACUCCUAAAAAUAUUUGUGAUCACUAUCGAGCAAUUAAAAUAAUUUUUGAAAUUAUCUUUGUAUUUUUACAGAUAUUUUUCCCCUAACCCCGAUGACAAGGAAAAUAAUUUAUACAAAUAUUUUUGAAAUUUACCAAACUGGAAUAAAAUAUUAAAUUUUAUUCCUCCUUUUUAUAAAAACCAUUAAUAAAAUAUUUUGAAAAAUCCGGGUUGUCACAAUCUACCCCCCUUAAAAGGAUUCCGUCCUCGGAAUCAGCGAAAAGAAAACUAGAGCGUACGAUCUCUUUAAUCCAUAAUACUUCUUUAUGAGGUGAUAUCCUCUUGAUUGUUGUCGUAUAUUCGCAUCAUCAUUCGCUUUUGCUCAUGGUACUUCCUACUAUAAAGGCUUAAUUUUACUUGGCAACUCAGUUGGCAUACAUUCAACUAUUAGAGAUUUCAAGAAAAUGAAAGAUUAGAUCUAUUGGAACAAAUAUUACGUGAUUGGAAACAAAAGAAUAACUGAGAGAUCAAUAUGAUCUAAAGAACUUGGUGUUGCGUGUCUAAAUUAAGACACUACUAAAGGUAGUUAACCUUCUUGUAAUGUACAACACACACAAGUCAUGGCGUCCCAUCCAACUCCUAUCACACAGCCUGGUAGUCCUUGUGUCACCUAUAGGUAGGGUUGUUCAUCUCAGUUAGAGUAGAAUGAUAUAAUAGAUAUUCAAAAUCAAUUAAGAAUGAUUAACUUUUGAUGAAUGAAUCUUUGAUGCGCACCUUGGGUUAAAAAUUGAAUAAGUUCCAAAGGUGCUAGUUUCAAUGAAAAGAUUAGUUAGAAAUGAUAAAAUAGACACAAGUAACAUUUUAUAACUCAAGAGAUAGAAAUGUAGUCUUUAUCAAACGUCUCUAGGAAAAGAUGUCAAGACAAUUCAUUGAUGAAGAAGGUAAUCAAUAUAAUCAACAAAAAGGAAGGUAUUGCCAAGAUUCUUCUCGAUCUGCUGCUCUAAUGGAUCAUUAUUCAAUUCUAUAAUCAAUAUUAUCAUUAACUUAUAAUAGUCUUUGAAGAUUCCAUAACAUAUAUUGUCGUCAAUAAGAUGUCAUAUCCAGCUUCAAACAAUCAACAUCACAAAGCGUUGACAUCUUAUCUCACUCAUAGAUACUAUAUCGAGUAAUCCAAGACAAACUUUACUUAGCUCUAUCGUUCGCUACUUAACAAUAUACCACGCUUAAAACUCGGACCAAGUAACACCCCUAUUCUUUUACCAAUUCCAUAUAUCUCUGAUAAGAAUCAAAAGGUAACUCCCCAAAUACUAUUCAAAAAUUGGCAGAUACUACAAAGAUUACUCUAGACUAUGUGAGAACCUUUACUGGUCCAACCUCAAUUAGAUCCCAUUAUAAAGCUAACCUAAUAGGUCUAUCUUUCACCCUUCAAAUGAUUUAGACUCUAAAUCAAAUAACAAGCUAAAUACUGAAGGAAAUCUUAUCCACCAACUAUGGGUUUCAAUCAAACUGGUGUUAAAAAAUUUUAAUCCAUAUAUAAACACUUAAAGUUACUCUUCAAAUUCCGGCAAAAAAAAAGUUACUCUUCAAAUUUAUCUCAAUCUUGGUGAUGAGGACUAUGAAAUAGUUAGUGAUUUUUUUAGACUCAACAGGAGAAUCUAUUUGUUUGCUAAUAUUGGUACUAACUAGGCAUGUUCUUCCUUCCCUAAGAUAUAAACUUACUAGUUCUGGGGCAAGAGAACUAUUAUACACACCAUGAAAUACUCAAAGUCAAUACUAUUCGGAAUCAUGUUUCUAUUGACACAUACUAUUCCAAAUAGCUGUAGACUACCUCUAUGUGAGUUUACACUUAGCGCACCUCUUUAUUAAACCUGAUAUUACCACUAUUAUUCUGAUUUCAAUAACUUAUAACCUGCAGCUCUGAUACCAGCUGUGACAGCCCUCAAAUCCGGGGGUCUGGAUUUGGUGCCACUAAAAGAAAAACAAUUUAAAACCUGUAUUUACGAAAAAAAUUAAAACAAGUAUUUCAAAACCUUAAUAUAUAAAAAAAAUGAUUUAAAUUAAAACUCAAUUUCACCCCCUUUAAAAUAGGAUCGCAAACAGGUUAUAGUAUUGAAAUCAGAAAACAAAACUACAGAUCUUAUUACAGCUUGAACUAUAUUAUCAACUAGACCUCGAUAUGAAGGAUAACCAAUAUCCAAUUUAACAAAUCUAUUCUUUUACAACUAAACCAAAUUUAGUCAACUCCAAUUACCACUAGUCCCACAGACACGAUCUUGAUUACUCUUCCUGACCAUCAGGUUGAAACUUAAUCACUUGCAAUCCUCGCCUAGCCUUACUCUUACGCUUAGCAUAAAUAGGCGAACCAUCUUUAACAUUAUCUGAAAGGGGUUAGAAGAAAUAGCAAGAAUGAGCAAAAGAAUGCUCAGCAAGUAUAUAAUAUCCAAACCAACAAUAAAUCAAACAGUAUGUAAAACCUGACAAUGAUAUAAAGAUAAUGAUACCAACACAAUAUGAUUUAAACAAAACAGUUUCUCCUUUAUGGAAUUGGAACCAAAUAAGACGC